rnacentral:misc_RNA from 1 species
CGCACCGCACCGCACCGCGAACCGUGCGACACCUGGCCCGCGAACCGUCGCGAACACGCCCUCGGAGCCCGGGACUAGUGUCACGCGUCGUUUGAGAACUGCCGUGGACCCUAAGCCGUGACCGGUGACGCGCGCAGUGCAUGUGCUCCUUGUCAGCAGCUCAGUGAAACCGUUACCGGUUCGGCGAUUGUGGCGCUAUGUAAAGAAGCCGCGACCGUGAAUCUAUGUGUAAGUUGGCGCAGGACGGUGAGAGGAGGCCCGCGCGGGCAAGAUGGUCACGCCGGCCAGCUGAUAGCAUGCGGGCGGCGGCGUGCCGGCCCGCCCCGACUUAGCCGAUCGCACUACGAGCGCCAAAUUCACGG